ACAGAAAAGAAAAAAGAUCAUGUCGUUGGGAGAAUAUUUCAGAAAGCAGAAAAAAGGAAAGCAAAAAGGAUGCACAUGGAGACACUGCCAAAACAAGGAAUAAAUACCCCACCCGAAUGAUGUAAUUUAUUUUUAUUAUCUUUCGGAGACAUCUGUAUAAACCCCAUCAGAGGGUAAUAUAUAUAAACCCCAUCAGAGGGUCAAAAAAAAAAAAAAAAAAAAAAAAAAAAGGAAAAGCCCAAAACAAAUGGGCUGACAUGUUGUGGAGGGCAAAGGCCCAUAGGCCUGAAAUAGCACCAACCAGGUCAUCAAAAGUACGCCUAGUACUCCAAAUUAUACAUGAGCACUACUCAUGUCAUUCAUACAUAAACAUUCAUGAGCAUCACUCAUGACAAUCAUACAUAAACAUUCAUGACCAUCAUUCAUGUCAACAUUCAUGAGCAUCACUCAUGACAACAUCCAUGAGCAUCACUCAUGUCAAUCAACAUAAACAUUCAUGAGCAUCACUCAUGACAAUCAUACAUAAACAUUCAUGACCAUCAUUCAUGUCAACAUUCAUGAGCAUCACUCAUGACAACAUCCAUGAACAUCACUCAUGUCAAUCAACAUAAACAUUCAUGAGCAUCACUCAUGUCAAUCAGCUUCAAAAGCUUCAUUUACAA
rnacentral:lncRNA from 1 species